UACCGCUCUUUGAAAAAACACAGAAGAAGAAAAGUUUGAACGUUGCCGAGAGACGCUUGGCGGCUGGAAGCAACAGGGGUCAGAAAGCUUGACCUACGCGGUAGCAGUCAGGACUUACUGUUGCUGGUUCCAAAAUGAUCUGGACGUAAAGAUGAUGGAGACCACAUCUUCCCACGCCGACAGACCAUAGUGAUGUCCUGCCAGUGAACGAGCUCAUGGACCUCUGGCCUGCUCUCAAAAUAGAAUCUUAGGUAAUAUGGAUCAGCUCUCUCUUUUAAAGUGAAAAUUGUGAUUCUUACUCAUCUGGCCGCUUCAUGAAUGUGUGCUAGAUUCUUCGAAUUGAACUGUUUUUUUAAGUGUUGUUGCUGUAUUCUCCUGCUGUUAUUUCAAUGUAGUUGUAUGCAGAGUUCCAGCGGAUUACGAAUCAGCACCUGCCCAACACAUUCUAUGCUGAGCAUGACCACCAUCUUCCUCGACUGAUGACCUUAUUCAGACAGAAGGCAUCAAAAACUGGGAAUACAGCAGAUUCUCUGGCUGAAAUUUUAAAGUCCACAAUGAACAGGUAAAUAGAUUAUUACACAUUUCAUAGGUUGAACCAUCACAACAUUGAACAGGUUCAAUGAUUCAAAUGAGCUUUGUGAAUUUUGCAAUUAGUCCACUUUGUGUUUGCCAUUUGUCUGAUUGCAUUAAAGAUGUGAACAGGGUAUUUGUGGACAUAUGUUCUGAUUUGACUGUUUAAAAUCAGCUUUGUUCAGUAAAUUCUUCAGUGUAUACAAUUCUGUUUUUAUCUGAAUAGGAAAUCCAUGACAUCCACACCAAGCGCUCUACUGUCCUCCACGCCCUUCCUGUGUAUCUGUUUGAGGAUGUUUCUGGAUUUUUCAGAACCUGCACAGACGAGUCUGAUGAGCCAGAGCUUGAUGGUGUUGCAGUGGGCCUCCUUGCUGUCAUCAGUGACCAUGACACAAUCCAGUUCACUACCACCCUGUGAGUCGUCAUUGAAAGGAAUUAGCCAGGAAGCCAAAGGCACUUUUAUAGCUGAUAACAAAAGCUAAUUUCAUUAGUGUAUUAUUUAUUAUUGUUUUUGAUUACUGAUUAUUUUACUGACUAUCAGAUUAGUUGUUUGGUCAAUAUCAGAAAUUUGUGAAAAAUAUCUAUUUCCUAUGGACUCAAGUGACCAAGAACACAUUUGGAAGGCUAGAAUCAGAAAAUUUUGAGUUUUUCUUCUUAAAAAUUUUGCAAAUAAUCAGUUAAUCUACUUAUUGCAUCUCUACAAUCUAUUUUUUGUUCUAUUUAUUUUAAUUUAUAAAUGUUUAUUUAUUUUUCUGUUUAAUUUUAACACUGAAGUGUGCUAAAAGGGAGUGGGCAAGAAAAUACUGUUCAGUUGAAGAUGUUCAUGACUUUUAGAUAUAUUAAGUUUGUUAAAUUCAGUGUAAUUGAGGCAAUCAAUUGCCUCAAAAAUUUUAAGUUUUGGGUCACAUGUUUUCAAGUAAACAAACUCAACAUGUGACUAAUGUGUACUUAAAACAAUGACAACACAAACAAAUAAACAUUGAGUUUGGUUAAAAUGGUGUGGUUGU
rnacentral:lncRNA from 1 species